GGGCGGUUGGCGCAGUGGUAGCGCACUUCCCUGACACGGAAGGGGUCACAAGUUCGAAUCUUGUAUCGCCCACAA
rnacentral:tRNA from 3 species